AUGUACUCUUUCACAGCGUCUACACCUUCCUUCACGACCUCCGCUGGUGGCAUGGACAGAGGGUUCUGCUCCAGGUUAAGCUUCUCCAGCUUGUCAAGCCGGCCAAAACUGUCGGGAAGAGCAUGGAUCUGGUUGUUGCUGAGGUCAACCUCCCGCAGGUUCAGCAGGUCACCGAAUGAGAAAGGGAGCUCCUUCAUGUCGCUGAAGUUGCUGCUCAGGUCGAGGAUUUCAAGGCUGGAAAGCUUCCCUAUGGCAGAUGGCAGACCGCAUAGUUCAUUGAAAUGAGCAUCCAGGACGUAUAGUGAUUGCAUCUCACAGAUAGAUGAUGGAAGAGAUCGCAACUUGUUCAUGUGAACCCAGAGCUUUCGCAGAUUAAUCAGUUCAUAGCCAAUAUUUGUUGGCAGAUAUGUGAGCCCAUUGUAG
rnacentral:rRNA from 1 species